ACUUUGUUAAAUUAUAUUAAUUUCAUCGUGUUUACCUUAAAAAUAUUAUCAAAAUGGAAACACGAUAUAAU
rnacentral:sRNA from 1 species